AGUACCUAUUCAAUGUUUGGACACUUCCAACUUCCUUUGAAUUGCUUUUCAUCUUUCAUAUAUCAAUUCAAUGUUUUCUUCGUCUCGUUGACUUUCACCAAUAAACUUUGUAAUCAUAUAAAUUGCCAGACUGUUAAAUUAUUGCAGAACCAUUGAUGUUAUACUGGAGAAAGAUGGAUAAAAUUCAAGGAAAGGGUCAAAUUUACUCCUCUACUAUACGAAAGU
rnacentral:lncRNA from 1 species